rnacentral:rRNA from 1 species
CAUAUGGAUGUGUCAGCAGCCGCGCGGUAAUACGUAGGGUGCAAGCGUUAAUCGGAAUUACUGGGCGUAAAGCGUGUGUAGGCGGUUCGGAAAGAAAGAUGUGAAAUCCCAGGGCUCAACCUUGGAACUGCAUUUUUAACUGCCGAGCUAGAGUAUGUCAGAGGGGGGUAGAAUUCCACGUGUAGCAGUGAAAUGCGUAGAUAUGUGGAGGAAUACCGAUGGCGAAGGCAGCCCCCUGGGAUAAUACUGACGCUCAGACACGAAAGCGUGGGGAGCAAACAGGAUUAGAUACCCUGGUAGUCCACGCCCUAAACGAUGUCAACUAGCUGUUGGGGCCGUUAGGCCUUAGUAGUGCAGCUAACGCGUGAAGUUGACCGCCUGGGGAGUACGGUCGCAAGAUUAAAACUCAAAGGAAUUGACGGGGACCCGCACAAGCGGUGGAUGAUGUGGAUUAAUUCGAUGCAACGCGAAAAACCUUACCUACCCUUGACAUGUCUGGAAAGCCGAAGAGAUUUGGCCGUGCUCGCAAGAGAACCGGAACACAGGUGCUGCAAGGCUGUCGUCAGCUCGUGUCGUGAGAUGUUGGGUUAAGUCCCGCAACGAGCGCAACCCUUGUCAUUAGUUGCUACGCAAGAGCACUCUAAUGAGACUGCCGGUGACAAACCGGAGGAAGGUGGGGAUGACGUCAAGUCCUCAUGGCCCUUAUGGGUAGGGCUUCACGCGUCAUACAAUGGUCGGGACAGAGGGUCGCCAACCCGCGAGGGGGAGCCAAUCUCAGAAACCCGAUCGUAGUCCGGAUCGCAGUCUGCAACUCGACUGCGUGAAGUCGGAAUCGCUAGUAAUCGCGGAUCAGAAUGUCGCGGUGAAUACGUUCCCGGGUCUUGUACACACCGCCCGUCA